rnacentral:rRNA from 1 species
CCCUUAGAUGUUCUGGGCAGCACGCGCGCUACAAUGGUCGUCGCAAACGGAUGCAUUCUCGAAGGAGAAUGCCAAUCUUGGAAUCUAUGCCUUGGUCGGGACAGUUGCUUGCAAUUUUUCGACUCGAACCAGGAAUUCCUUGUAAUCGUGAUUCAUCACAUCACGAUGAAUACGUCCCUGCCCUUUGUACACACCGCCCGUCGCUCCUACCGAUCGAAGAGUUAGGUGAAUUGUUUUGAUCGAUAAGAUUUGACUAUGGUCAACUCUCGUUGUGAAAUUCUGUGAAUCUGACUGUUUAGAGGAAGGAAAAGUCGUAACA